GAGGGGAGCGUAAUUAUUUAUAAAUAACCAUGCUUUACAAACAGAUUUGGACACACUUCCGAUCGAAAUCUGUCUCAUCCCGCGUAAAUCUCUGAGAUUCGUCGCACCAAACGACUCUCGUAAAUAAUCAGAGAUGUAAACUAGCGUCUUUCCAAACAAGAAAUUAUGCUUAAUUAGGCUUAUUAAUAUACGACUUGGCGACGGAGAGUGGGAGUUCCCUUGAUGGCGUAGGCGCAGUAUAAAACUUUAUUUGGGGAUCGUUGACCCAAAUUGAGAGUGCGUUAAGUGCGUGAGUGUGGGGCUCCUGCUGAUAUGACUCUAUGAUUUAUUGUUCAUGCAGCGGGGCUAAUAACUAAUUAUUAAUUGAUAAUUGAUAUGUCUUCCAGCGAAGUACAGGAAGUGGCAUACGCACACACAAUUUACGGGCCUUGCAAUCGAAACUCCGGACCUGAGACCCAUGUAAACGACUCUCGUGUGGGGAAGUGCAAAAGUGCAAUAGUUUUGACCCAUUUGUGGGUUCGCCUUACGUGACUAAUUCCAUGGCGCUUUCGAAAGUGCAGAUAAGUCGAGAAAUCUAACGCCAGCCAGCCUUGGAAGCAAUUAGAGGCGUUUAAUGUACAGGUACUUCCACUCGAGCAAUAACCUUCGACCGGGCGGCACUGGCCAAAGCGCGACUGGGAUCUUAAGUCGGCUUUUAAGGCCGUAUCUCUUCAAGUCAGUUCUUUUUGGGCUGAUUGCGAGGGAAGUUAUUCGGGUACAAGUGCUUGUUCGUCUCUUUUUUGUGCGUCUGUCGGUGCAACUCUGUUGCACUCAGAAAGCGUUCACAAUAGACACUCAAGCGUGGAGGAAGCAAAAGCCCAGUGAUAAACAGACGCAACAACGAGAGCUGAUUGCCCAGACUGCGUAUCUUUCGUCUAUGUCUGCGUGAAGACGCAGAAGAAAGCAUCAAAGUGCUAGUUUGCCGGAAAAGAUGGAAAGCUAAACAGUUUGCCGACUAAGAGAUUACUAUUAGUGGAAUAACUGCAUUCGGAAAAUGAGGCAAACAAACUUCUCUCUAUAUGUGUGCAAAAAUUGCAAUCAUUCAUACAUCUAUAUAAUAGCUAUAGAAAAGGAAAAAGAAACUACAUAUAUAAAGUAUCAAAAUAUACAUCUUAAAGAUAAUCAAAAGUCAAUUGAGUUUGGUUUAUGGUUUUAGCUAGCCAUCUUGAAAUUGUCACAUUGGUGUUCAUUUAAGAUAGAUGCCCUAUAAGAAAGGGGUAUCAAGAUGGGUCAUACAAGACGUGCAGCGAAACAAACUGACGCACAUUCUUACAAACAUCGUGGAAGUACAAGUAGAUUUUCUGCUGCCUCUCUUUUUGUUCGCUCGCUUCUUUUUAGCUGAAUAGUGUAAAUGACCUCUCGAGAUAAAAUUGUGGCCACAACGCAAACGAUGACAGGCCGGCUUUGUUGUCGUUGUUGUUGGUGUUGUUGGUGUUGUUGAUAUUGUUGGUGGUGUUGGUAUUGUUGGUGUUGCAGUUUCCUUUGCAGUGCGGAAAUAAGUUGUUGUUGUUUUCGGCAAUUGAGUGCGUUAAAUCUGGUUUAAGAUGCAUAUAUGUAUAUACACGAAACAUUGACCCAGUUAACUGGCUGCAUUUAAAUCAUAAGCCCAAACUGGUUGGACAAGUAGUGCAUGCUCAUAUUGGGUCUACGAGACUUCUGCGGCGGAAAUAGGAGCUUUUCUCAGCACAGCGAUGAACUCGCGAUUGUGGGCUUGGGAAAUUCGCAGGGAGCAUGGGCCAUACAACCAGCCUAAGGUCAGGCCUGCAGAUCGUGAUGCGAUCGGGAAAUCUGUUUCGGCGGCAGUAGCCAAAGUCCAAAUUGCCAAAUCGUGAAAAAAAAAACAAAAACAAAAGCAGGAAAACGACAAUUUCGCAAAGUAGCCUCAGAAGAAGAGCAAAACCUAUUUCCCGGCCCAAAACGAUGGAAAAUGGGGCAUAUUGUGUAAGGGGCAUAUUGUGGAAGGCAGUCAACCCGCAUAAAAACUCGCUCAAAUGUCAAGUUGAGAAUGAUGACGCUGUGGCGUUGUUCCUGCGACUGAUGAUUAUGCUGGAUGCGUUUUAGUUCCAACUACGCAUAUUUUCCGCCCUAUUUACUGCCGUUCUCUUUGCGGCUCUGUAUCUGCGGUUUCUCCGAGAUUUGUGUAUUGAAACAAACGGAUGCUGCUUCGGUUGAAAUGGGCAGGAAGUUGGAGGGCACCAGCACCAGCCAGGGAAUACUAAAUUCGUUCGCCACAGAAGAGUUCACAGCAGAAGGAAGUGACUUGACUGGCGGAAAGCAGAGAGGGGCAACUGUGGCACACACUUUUGUCAAGGGCGACAGACAGACAGAGUUGCUGCCGUUAAUUGCUUACCAAAGAUGUGAGCACACGCACCGCCAUUUCUGUCCCAUUUGAAUUCCCCCCUUUGGACACUGCGUUCUUAGGCGCAAAUGCAGAUGAGCCGCAUUAGGGUGGACCAACAACGUGUUGCAGCAAUAACAUUGGAGACUAAACCAGAACUUCCCCUUGAGUGUUCCCAGCGCAUAAUGACACAUUAAUUCUCUUUGAAACCACUUCCUCGGCUAUUCUAAAAAUAAUUACUGAUAGCUUUAUGCGUAAAGAUUGCAUGAACAAUGAACAAUACAAUACGAAGAAUAUUGUACUUCCUCGAGUUUUUGGGAUAUCCAAGCUAAGCUAAAGUUUAUCUAACUCUGUAAUGAAACUAAGAAAACAUCUAUUAAAAUUGUCCACAUUGAAUAAAAUCAAUAAUCAAGCAAAGAAUUCUAAAAGAUUCAACGGCCUGAAAAUAGAUGUAAAAUGUAUAAUUUCCAGCCCACCACUUUAAUGCACUGCCGGAUACUCUCCUAUCCACUUUGCCUAUGAAGUUCUGUUUUUCUUGUGUCCCAUAAGUUCUGGUUGGGAUUUGGUAAAACAAAUAAUUUUACAGCUGCCUUGGGGAUUUGUAUACUAGGAAAAGUGAAGUGCGGGUGCGGGCGAAAAUCUCCAAUGUCAGGCUGGCUUUUAGCGGAUUUAUGUGUUGUAUUAUAAGCUGUAAGGUAAGCGAUACAUUGUGGCCGGCAAAUUGUGCAUCAGCAUCAGCAGCGGACGGCCCGUCAUGACAUUACACUUUCACCAACAACUACUACGGGUAUCAACAACUUGACACCAACAACUGCGGCCAUCUGUGGUCAGCCAAGUGUCGAGAUGCCUCGGCCCUUGGCCUGAUCUUGGUCUGGGGGCUUGGGGGUCUGGGGUUUGGGGUCUGGUUCCUCUGAUCCGGGGUUAGGAAAGCGCCGAUCAUCGAAUGAAAUGUGUCGAGUGGUCGCGCGUUGAAAAGAAAAUCGAAAAGAACGCAUAAAACGAUGAUAAUCAAAAGAUCAAGUUUUUUAUGAACGGAAUCGACAACGUCACCAGCAGAAACUGAGAAACACACAUGUGCUCAAACAUUCAUGUUUAUCUAUGGGUUUCUAUCUUUAGCGUCAUCUGUGCUUUGCACUGCAUUUUCUAUUUGAUGUUUCUGGGAUUUGUGUUUGUGAGGGCAUCUGCUUUGGCUCUCUCCCCCCGACUGCCGCCGCCGCACCGCCGCACCGCCCACCUCCCCCUGCCACACCCACUGACGCGUAUGGCACGUCAUUAACCCAAAUUUUCUAUGAAUAAAAUAUAGCGAAAAGGAAAACACUCAGUGUUUAUGUUUGCGAGCAUGCCUUGGGAAAUGGAAAUCUCUGUCUAUUUCACUCCAAAGGCUACUUUGAUUCGAAUCUAAUUGAAUAAUUCGCGGGCUGCGCAUUCAACACGCUGUAAAAUAGGCCAAUUCAUCGAUAAUUGAAGCUGAUAGGCAUCCCACCUUCUUGAUAGGCUCACUAUCUAAUCAGCAGCACUGUAAACAAGCGUUUGUUUUGGUCACGAAUGUGGAAAUCGAUGGGUAUCGAUCGGAAGUUAUCAAGCAGCUGAAGCUGCCCGAAGAAACUGAAAUUCGGGAGAAUGUGGAGCACAGAAACUCAUUUCGCAACGCAAACGCCCACAAAUGUGUAAACACAACUGCCCGCCCGAAAUAAACUUUCGGCAUUUAGCGGCGUUUAAUCGAUUUGUGCAUAAAAUUAUAAGUUUACACAUGGCAAGGCAGCCGAAACGAAAAUAAAGUCCAGAUACACAACAUGACCCAUUGGCGAACAUGGCGCUGGGGUGUUUCUUUUCCAGCGCAUUUCCACUCGAAAUUCAGCGGAUUAGUCACUAUAUUAAAACACACAAAAUAACAUUUUAGGCGUAGAAUACUUACCCCAUUAAACACACUUCUCUAUAUGAUUUUCACUUUUUUAAGUUUCAUUUAAAGUGUGCAGUCACCUUUUUUGUUAGCUAUUUUAAUCUUUAAAAUAAAGAAUAAAAUAGGAAGAGCUUAUUAAAUAUAUUUCUUCACUGUUCUCGACUUGUUCUCAACUCAUUAGAGAGCGGAAAUUCUCGACAACUCAAUGUUAAGGUGGGUAAAUUUGCGUUUACUAAUUUUAACAAAGGCCCGAGAACAUUGUCCUAUAAUUAACACCAGAACCACUCCCGCUGGUCUCCUGCCGGUUUUCUGGGCGUUUUGGCCAUGGCCAAUGGUUAUUAAUGAUUAACCGGAGUGCCGUUAGCCGGCACAUGUUACUCCGUACUUUGUCAUGUUUGUUAUGUUCUUGUUUGCUGGUUCCAUCAGCACGUUUUGUUUCUGCCUUCCUCAUGACAGCUUUGUGGCCAUCAGCAAUGGGGAUUUCUCUGCCUUUCUCCGGCCUUUCCAGUCUCGUUAGCGUGAAAAGCUUUGCCCAGCUUUUGUUUUUCUUGCAUAAGAAAAUGUCAGUUGCUCAGGCAUCUUGGCUUUGCUAAUUUGCCAGCCCCGCCAUAACUAAUACACACGCUCGCGGAAAAGAAUCGAGAAUUGAAGGAAAUACGUUUUAGUGUCGCCUCAUGCUUCUCGCAGAACCCUGAACCCUUGACAUUUUCACCCAGGGCGGCGAUAAAGUUUUAUACUUUUUAAUGAGCUCCACCACGUUCUCUGCCAGCACGCAGCCCACCCCAAGUGAAAACCGCUUGAGGCGAAGGCGAAUCUCGGCUUGGAUUAGACACGAUUUUCAUUAGGACGAACCCCGAAAAUCGAAAGUGGUUACGAAAGAUUCCACUCGAGUGGGCGAUCCAGCAGUCUCGAGUCGCGGACUCAUUCGAACUCAGAUUCAUUCACACAACAAGGAACGCCCAUGCAGUUCACCAAUCAAACGAAAACGAAAAUCUUUUUGUGAGUGGGCAGCGAGAAACUCGAAUUGCAGCAGCGCGGCGACAUGCUAAACAAAUGCAGACAUUCAGGCUAAGUGACUUCAAAGUUUUACAAGUUUUCAGCCGUUUUUUCUUGUUUACCAAUUGAAAACAGUUGCCGCUUUAUAAUGCCAUACCUGCAAUGAGGACGGAUAUAUGAAUAAUGUACCAAAUAUUUUACAUUUUGUGGGGAAAACUAUAGUGAUCCAGCUAAAAUAAUGAAUGGGAUGAAUGGGUAAAGAACAUUCAAAAUAUUACAAGUAUUAAUUUUUCCAAAACCAUCAGUGGGAAGCAGGGAAAAAGCUAAUUUGCACAACAAACUGGUAACGUGUUUCCUUUGUUUUGGCCAUGUUCUCGUGCAUGGGAAAGAACAGGGUGUUGUUGUUGUAUCUAUGCAACGGGGGUGGAGGUGGGGGUUGGUCAGUGGGAGCGGCCUUUCUCCAUAGGACACAAUAUUUUUUUUUUAUAUUCACUAGUUUUUCUGCUUUUGUGAAUUUCUGUUUGCAUUUUAUUAAGGCGCAAGUGCCUGGUUUCUGUUUAUAUAAGCGUAGUAAGAUCACAGAAAAAAAUUGCUCGUACAAAAACUAACUUCUAAUUAAUAUUUGAGUUAUUUGUAUCAUUUUAGUAAGAAGGAACAUUUAUUUCAUUCUCUUAGUAUAUCAAAAUUUAUGAUUUUAUUUCAAAUUUCUGAGCUAGCUUCCCAUUUUGGUGACCUCUGCCCCAAAAGAUGCUAGUAUCACGGCCGAGAUAGUGGAUUUUUUCUCUCGGUGCAUAAGCAAGUUUCUUGCCAAUGGCCGACAGCUGUUUGUGGCUAAUUUUAUCUUUCUUUCUGAGCCCCUCUGUUGUUUUGGAUUCUCUCGUUUUUGGCAAUUGCACAGGUGCGGCAGUUGGAUGGUUUGCGGAUUGGGUUACUCCACGCGAAUCAGAUAACCCAAGGCAUCCUUUCGAAUUUGAGUACUACUUUGUGUCUAAGCAGCGUAUAGUAUAUACGAUAUAGCGACUUGGCGAAUGCACCGGCCGACAUUCCAGGCCAAACGGGCGCCGUUGCUGGAAAGUUCUGCAUCAUUUGUUUAGACAAAUGCGCGAGAAAACAGUCCCGGGACGUAAACAAACCCCAGGAAUAAUAUUUUAAUAAUUACGCUUAUCUGCUCCAUUUGACGGCGCGCACAAAAGUCGUUUGAAAGGUAUGCAAAGAGAACGAGACGUGCGAUAAGGGAGCCGGGAAUGGGAACUCAACUUUCGAGCAUUUAGUCCGCACCAUGGGUGUCAACGUGCCGCUCCGGUUCCUGUUGCGAUUACGGGUUGAAAGGAACACAAAGCCGCCACCCCGCGAAAAGACGACCCAUUCGGACUCGGACAAAAAAUUACCUCGUUCAGAUAAACCGAGUUCAGGUAACACAGUCCAAAGAGAAGUCUCUGCACUUGCGCAAUUACCGCGCAACUUCAAAAGGGGAGUUGUGCACAGAGAAAAUUUGUUUGGCAGAAUUUCGUGGACCGAAAAAAUGCUUCAAAAAACACUUCACAGCACUUCAUUGGCACAAAUUGUCAAAAAACACAGAUUUCAUAUUGUUUGAAAAAGUUUAUAUGAAAUAUAAGUAUAAUUGCACGGUUGAUUACAUCUUUAUUCCAAUCAUAUGAAUUAAGAACCUAUUGCCACAUUGGUAGUUGAUUUUGUUAUAGGAAUAUUAUGUUAUAGAAGAUUUUUUUUCUUUAAAACAAAAUUACAAAUAUACAAAACCUAAGGUACAUACGUCAAUAAAUCAUUUUUAACAAUUUGAACAGAAUUUUUUAUGAAACUCCUCUUUUUCUUAACGUGUAUAACAAAUCCUGUUUGGAUUGGCCGUGAAAGGAGUUUUCGGUUCUCACGACCGCCUGGAAUGGUCACUGGAAGUCCUUGGACCUGGAAUCGGUCCAAACUUGUUGUUGGUGAACUGCAGCUUCCAUUCCAUUUCUCCCCUCCCCAUCCAUCACUCACAAAACACUGCGCCCCUC
rnacentral:sRNA from 1 species